ensembl:lncRNA novel transcript, antisense to AIM1
CUUUAUACUGCCCUGGGACUCUGUAGAGAGUCCCUACCAGCAAGAAGGCUCUCACCAGAUGUGGCCCCUCGACCUUGGAUGUAGCCUCCAGAAUUACUCUAGAAGUAAGGAACCAAGCGCCUCACUGGUGGUGUGGAAGAACUGGGAUUCCCCACAGUGCAGUGGAAAUUCCUGGGAGUCUCGAACCACAUAUUUUCCAUCGACUACAUCCAAAGCUCUGCAAAGAACGGAACCACAGUCAUGUCAAUACACUAUGAACAAUGCCAAAAUCUCAAGAAACCCAAAGGCAUAUUUCUCCAUGUAUUAAUAUAUUUCCAGUCAGCCCAAAUAAUGAAUCAUUCUUCAAAACCUACACGGCGUUGUAGAUAAUUUGGCGCUCUCAUAGCACAUUUAUAAAUAAACCUGGAUGACUUCA